GACGAACCGUGCGAACGUUAUUCGGAAUCACUGGGCUUAAAGGGCGCGUAGGCGGGCUCGCAGGUCAGGGGUGAAAGCCCACGGCUCAACCGUGGAAGUGCCUUUGAUACCGUGAGUCUCGAGGGAGGUAGGGGCGUGCGGAACUUCCGGUGGAGCGGUGAAAUGCGUAGAUAUCGGAAGGAACAUCGGUGGCGAAAGCGGCGCGCUGGACCUCUUCUGACGCUGAGGCGCGAAAGCCAGGGGAGCAAAGCGGG
rnacentral:rRNA from 1 species